GACGAAGGAUGCAAGCGUUAUCCGGAUUCAUUGGGUUUAAAGGGCGCGUAGGCGGACUUAUAAGUCAGUGGUGAAAUCUCUGGGCUUAACCCAGAAACUGCCAUUGAUACUGUAGGUCUAGAGUACAUUUGCUGUGGGCGGAAUAUGACAUGUAGUGGUGAAAUACUUAGAUAUGUCAUAGAACACCGAUUGCGAAGGCAGCUCACAAAAAUGUAACUGACGCUGAGGCUCGAAAGUGCGGGGAUCAAACAGG
rnacentral:rRNA from 1 species